rnacentral:rRNA from 1 species
GAUGAACGCUGGCGGCGUGCCUAACACAUGCAAGUCGAACGAAACACCUUACCUUAUUCUUCGGAUGAUAGUUUGGUGACUGAGUGGCGGACUUGUGAUUAACGCGUGUGUAACCUGCCCUGUACAGGGGGAUAACAGCUCGAAACGGCUGCUAAUACCGCAUAAGCGCACGAGGAGACAUCUCCUUGUGUGAAAAACUCCGAUGGUACAGGAUGGGCCCGCGUCUGAUUAGCUGGUUGGCAGGGUAACGGCCUACCAAGGCAACGAUCAGUAGCCGGUCUGAGAGGAUGAACGGCCACAUUGGAACUGAGACACGGCCCAGACUCCUACGGGAGGCAGCAGUGGGGAAUAUUGCACAAUGGGCGAAAGCCUGAUCCAGCAACGCCGCGUGAGUGAAGAAGGACUUAGGUAUGUAAAGCUCUAUCAGCAGGGAAGAUAAUGACAGUACCUGAAGAAGAAGCUCCGGCUAACUACGUG